UUUAUUAGAAAGAAAAUGAAGCGGUUCUCACCCGACCUCCCAAACUAAGCACUUUCCUUUCAUCCAAGACUGCUUCAGCCCUGCCUGCAUGCAUGCAUCAGAAGUCACUCCUCAGGCUGCAUUCCCCAGUGACAGUAGGAGGGUCAGUUUUUUGCCUCUUUUCCCUCUUUGUCAAGAGUUAGUCCAAUGUUUGUUAACUGUUUUCAUGAUGAGUUAAUUUGACCUAAAAUGUUAAUAGAUUCUAAUAACUUAGUAUGUGGUUAGAUUUCAGUACGUAGUCUCAUGGGUCAUGGGAAGAGAGGAGAGAUCACAGAUAACGUAUAACAAGAUGUUUGUACUUGUUAGUGACUUAGAUAGACAUCAAUUUUCCAAGCUUCAGAUCAGUACUUACGAAGUUUCCUUAAUCAUCCUGUAGGGUAAAUGGUACUUUGGAAUUAAAAUAAUUUAGGAAGAUAAAAUUAAGCGAAGCAACAUAACACUGUUCUACUUGAAACAAAGACUCACUGAAUGAAAUCAUUCUCUUUAGGUAGAUUUAAAGAAGUGUAUGACUAUGGACUCAGAUAUAUACUGAUAGAGGUAUUUAAGAUUCUGUGGAUGAAUAAUUCAGAAACGUUCCAGUUGGAUGGACUGACUCAGGUCUCUCAUGAUGCUGCAGCCAAGGUGUUUGCAAGCAUUGCCAUAAACUGAAAACUUGACUGGGGCUAAAGAAUUUUCUUCUAUAAUGGCUCAUUCACGUGGCUGUUGGUGGGAGGCCUCAGUUUCUCACCAUGUGAACUUCUCCAUGGUGCUCCUUGGGUGUCUUCAUGACAAGGCAGUUGGCUUUCUCCUGAGCAAGUGAUCUAAGAGAGAGCGAGGAAGAAGCCUCAAUGCCUUUUAUGGCUUUGUCCCAAAAAUCAUGCAUUGUUACUUCUGCCACAUUCUAUUAACUAGAAGGUAGUCAGUAAGUACAGCCUACACUGUAGGAGGGAGACAUUAGGUUGCACUUUUUGAAGAGAAGAAUGCAUGGACAUAUUUUAAUAUCAGCACACGAUGAGUGCCUUCAAACCUCAGUAAAUUUCUGGCCCCUGUUUAAAAAAAAAAGGAGGGGCAGCUUACUCUGUAGAGUUUCAGUAAUAAAGCACUGGUUUCAACAACAAGGCAUUAGCAUGUGGGGGGCAUAAAAAAAGGAAAAUCAUUUCCAAAACUGAUGAUGGAAUGAAGCAAGUGAAACUGGAAAUGUAAAGAGGCACUUGCCUUGGAUGCAAGUUAAGGGGGUAAAAAAUGCAAAAUGGUUGUUUUGCAUUAAUUUUGCCUGAUUUAAAAAAUGUUGCAUUAGAAUAUUAUUUGUCCUCAUUACUGAGUUUUUACCCACCCCCCCACCCUUUACAGGUUGCACUUGAGACGAGUGCCUCACUUCCUUUGUUUGUAUCACCCUAGUCACACCCCGCUCUCUUUCUACUUUAUAUAUUGGUUGCUCAGGACAGUUAUUUCUAGCUUUCUGAAAUUAGUAGAUCAACAGUAUGCUGGAAGCAGACUAGGAGUAGCACAGAAUAGUGGGAAACUGCCUGGCUUGAUGUAAGGUGGCUUGGGUACCAGUCAAGUCUUCUCUAAUUAGCUGUGGAACUUUAAUAAUAUCAUUUCACCUAAAAGUGUCUCAGUUUCUUGGUGAUAAAUUUGAAGAGGCCAAACUAGAUAUUUUCUAAGGCCCAGUAAAGGCUUAACAUUUUAACAGCAUAUAGCCUUAGAGUACCAGAUGAUGUUUUCCCUUCCCUUACAUCCGUCAUCUGUAGCUAGAGACCUGAAAUCCAUUACUCUUCAGAGUAAAGCUAAUGCCUUUCUUAUGUGCUUGUUGUUUUUAAUUUUAAUUUGGAAUUAUGCUUUUUGCAAUCAUUUGCCCAAUCUCACUCUGGGGUAGUCAUCAGGGCAUGAUGCAGCAUUGGUAUCAUUUUCUAUUUUCAUUAAGGUGCCCUGAGGACUUCCAGCAUUAGAUGCCAACAAAUUUAAAUUAUUAAUUUUAUUACAACAAGAGUUCUAUAACAGCAGAGUUACUGAAUGCUUUCUAAAUUGGUUUUUAACUAGAAAAAUAAAGAGAUAGAAUAUGGACACUUGGGAAAUAAUAAGAAAAGUGAGACAGCGCUGCUAUUGAUUUAAAGUCAGGUAAGGGGAUAUUUCUUUUAAGUUCAAUAUUCACAAAUCAUUGGACUUGGAUAAGAUACUAAUGAGAGUACUGAACAGCCUCAUAGGUAUGAAAUAAUGAAGAAAUCAAGUAAUAAACCCAAAAACUGUGGUACUGACAUGUAAGAAUGUAAAAACUGAUCUCACUAAUUGAUAUUCUUUUAAUUGAUUCCACUUCUUAAUUAAAAAACUGUAUUUUUAAUAUGCCUAGUUAAAAGCCUACUGUAAGCAGCAGAUAUAUAAUCAGAGACAAGGGGUGAAUUUUCCAUUUCUGAAUGAUCUUGGGUAAAUCACAAAAAUCAAUUUAAAACUGUCUUCGCCUGAAAAAUGGGGACAUUAACACCCCCACACAGGGAUUUUCUAUGUGUGGCUCAAAUAAGGUAUUGUGCAUAGAAGCAAUUUGUAAACUGUAAAAUACUCUGUACAUAUGAAGAAUUUAUAAAUUUAUAGAUAUUUGUCACUUCCAAUUAAUAUUACUGGGAGUCUUCUGAUGAUAUUAGGGAUGAAAGAACAGUGGAAUUCUAAGGUGACUGUAUCCAUCCAGUGACUCAGACCUGACCCUGAAAAAUACAGGCGUACAUAAAUUUCACACCUCAGAGUGAUGGCCUUUGUAAUAAAUUAUAGUAUCCCAGAA